rnacentral:rRNA from 1 species
GAGUGCGUAAGUGUAAGGGGGUUUCCGCCCCUUAGUGCUUCAGCUAAACGCCAUUAAGCACUCCGCCUGGGGAGUACGCCCGCAAGGCUGAAACUCAAAGGAAUUGACGGGGGCCCGCACAAGCGGUGGAGCAUGUGGUUUAAUUCGAAGCAACGCGAAGAACCUUACCAGGUAUUGACAUCCCGCUGACCGCCUAGGAGACUAGGCUUUCCCUUCGGGGACAGCGGUGACAGGUGGUGCAUGGUUGUCGUCAGCUCGUGUCGUGAGAUGUUGGGUUAAGUCCCGCAACGAGCGCAACCCUUGAUCUUAGUUGCCAGCAUUCAGUUGGGCACUGUAAGGUGACUGCCGGUGACAAACCGGAGGAAGGUGGGGAUGACGUCAAAUCAUCAUGCCCCUUAUGACCUGGGCUACACACGUGCUACAAUGGACGGUACAAAGGGCUGCAAACCCGCGAGGGGGAGCCAAUCCCAUGAAACCGUUCUCAGUUCGGAUUGCAGGCUGCAACUCGCCUGCAUGAAGCCGGAAUCGCGUAGUAAUCCCGGAUCAGCAUGCCGCGGUGA